GUCCAUGAAUUGGGAGGGUAUAAUGAAGAUCUUUGAAACUAAUUGAGGAAGGAGUUGAUGGAUGGAUUAGAAGAAGAAGAAGAUUUGAAUUUAGAACUAGAACUUGUGGAAUCCACAUUAGAUAAUGUAACAAAUGAUUAAUUGGGUGGGCCAGAGAAAAUAGUAAUUUUGUAGAGUUUUGUUAAAUAGUUUUUAAAUAGGUAAUAAUUGUGUAUUUACAAAGACACUGCACAAAUAGAAGUGGGGCUAUGUAGAAUAGAUAUUAGUUUGUUUCUGUAAGAUACUAGUAAAAUAGACUAAUAGUCUAUAGAAUAGUCAGUUCAAGAAGACAAAUGAUUAACUUAGUUAUUAAAAGCGAUUAAUUAUAGGAUUACGGUUAGAAUCUGGGAAUAUGGAGUAAGCAUAUAGGAGUUGUAGAAGUUAGUCUGAGUGCCAGACUGUAAUAGUCAUGAGCCGGGAUUAAGCUUGGUGCUACCUCUUUGUUUUUCUUUAUUGUUGAAAAAUAAUGGAUAGUUUCUAAAUAUUGAGAAGUGAGUCCGUAGAAUAAACCAGAGAUUGAUUUAUGAGUUAUUGAUUAUGUAAUUUGAACACUGAGUAAUUGAAUUAUAUGAAGAGUUAUUGGAAGAUUAUGAUUGUUAUUUAUUGAAAGCUGUGUGUGUUUGGACAGAGGAAGUAUGUGAUUACAAAAAUUAUGUGAAUCCAGAUUGAUUGGAGUGAAGUCUAUUAUGUUUAGAGUUGGAUGGAAAUUAUGUGAUUUGAACAGUCUUUUGAGAAUGCAGGGUUGCACAUUAUUAUUAUCAGUUGAUGAAAGAAUAUUGUUAUUAGGAGAAAGCAUUGUAAUGUUUCUUGGUAUUUUAGUGGUUUGGAAUAUGGUUAAUUGUGUGACCCUAACAAAUAAAACUCAUACACUUAGUCUUUCCUUGUGUUUGAAUUCUCCUAUAUAGGUUUAUUCUAAAAAGAAUUGUAGAAUAAGUAAAACGAUAAUCAGAAUAUUUAAUAUUUCUCAAGAUAAAUAAAAGAGAGAAUUGAAA
rnacentral:lncRNA from 1 species